rnacentral:rRNA from 1 species
UACAGAGGGUGCAAGCGUUGUUCGGAAUUAUUGGGCGUAAAGGGCGCGUAGGCGGUUCGGCAAGUCUCUAGUGAAAUCUCUGGGCUUAACUCAGAGUCUGCUGGGGAAACUGCCGGGCUUGAGUGUGGGAGAGGAGAGUGGAAUUUCCGGUGUAGCGGUGAAAUGCGUAGAUAUCGGAAGGAACACCUGUGGCGAAAGCGGCUCUCUGGACCACAACUGACGCUGAGGCGCGAAAGCUAGGGGAGCAAACAGG